CCUACGGGGGGCUGCAGUGAGGUAUAUUGGUCAAUGGACGAGAGUCUGAACCAGCCAAGUAGCGUGAAGGAUGACUGCCCUAUGGGUUGUAAACUUCUUUUAUAUGGGAAUAAAACGUUCCACGUGUGGGAUUUUGUAUGUACCAUAUGAAUAAGGAUCGGCUAACUCCGUGCCAGCAGCCGCGGUAAUACGGAGGAUCCGAGCGUUAUCCGGAUUUAUUGGGUUUAAAGGGAGCGUAGGUGGAUUGUUAAGUCAGUUGUGAAAGUUUGCGGCUCAACCGUAAAAUUGCAGUUGAAACUGGCAGUCUUGAGUACAGUAGAGGUGGGCGGAAUUCGUGGUGUAGCGGUGAAAUGCUUAGAUAUCACGAAGAACUCCGAUUGCGAAGGCAGUUCACUGGACUGCAACUGACACUGAGGCUCGAAAGUGUGGGUAUCAAACAGGAUUAGAUACCCGGGUAGUC
rnacentral:rRNA from 1 species